AAUAUCAGGGGAGCUUGUAUACAGGCUGAGAGGAAGGUAUGACCUUCGACCCGUUAAACCUGAUUUGGAUAAUGCCAACGUAGGGAUUCUUGAUAU
rnacentral:ncRNA from 1 species